rnacentral:sRNA from 1 species
CAAGCAACCCGGCAACGCGAGUCAACAACAACAACCGCCCGGCCGACCCCCACCCCCACCCCCCAGGCCCGGCCCGGGGACCCCAGCACGUCCCGUCCCCUUCCCAACAUCGAUUCCGAGACCUCCGAAAAGCCUUUCCGCAGACAGAAGUGGGGAGAAGCGGAGGAAUUAAAAAAAAAAAAAGCCUUAUUUAUUAUCAUUUUCCCCACCGUUGGCAUGGCAACACAGGCGUAUACUGAGCUACAGGCAGCCCCGCCACCAUCCCAGCCGCCACAGGCCCCGCCACAAGCCCAGCCCCAGCCGCCACCGCCACCACCCCCAGCGGCACCCCAGCCCCCGCAGCCACCCACCGCUGCUGCCACCCCUCAGCCCCAAUAUGUCACCGAGCUGCAGAGCCCCCAGCCCCAGGCACAGCCACCGGGUGGCCAGAAGCAGUACGUGACGGAGCUCCCGGCUGUACCCGCACCCUCACAGCCAACCGGUGCACCCACCCCUUCGCCUGCACCCCAGCAGUACAUCGUGGUCACUGUCUCUGAAGGUGCCAUGCGGGCCAGCGAGACAGUGUCGGAGGCCAGCCCCGGCUCCACCGCCAGCCAGACCGGCGUUCCUACUCAGGUGGUUCAGCAGGUGCAGGGCACCCAGCAGCGGCUGCUGGUCCAGACGAGCGUGCAGGCCAAGCCAGGCCACGUGUCGCCCCUCCAGCUGACCAACAUCCAAGUGCCCCAGCAGGUAAUGCUGCUGCACCUGGCCACCACCCUGGAAGGCUCCCUCAGGGUGGAGGACCAACCCCCUGUGGCAAGCGUGGAUCUGUCCUCACCAGGAUGGAGGGAAGAGUCCCCAUCCAGGG